AGGGUUUGAUUAUGGCUCAGGAUGAACGCUGGCGGCGUGCUUAACACAUGCAAGUCGAACGAAGCACUUCAUAAAGUUUACUUUAAGAAGUGACUUAGUGGCGGACGGGUGAGUAACGCGUGGGUAACCUGCCUUACACAGGGGGAUAACAGUUAGAAAUGACUGCUAAUACCGCAUAAAACAGCAGAGUCGCAUGACUCAACUGUCAAAGAUUUAUCGGUGUAAGAUGGACCCGCGUCUGAUUAGCUAGUUGGUGGGGUAACGGCCUACCAAGGCGACGAUCAGUAGCCGGCCUGAGAGGGUGAACGGCCACAUUGGGACUGAGACACGGCCCAA
rnacentral:rRNA from 1 species